rnacentral:rRNA from 1 species
AGUGGCAAAGGAUGUGCGUUUGCUCAGACAACCAGGAUGUUGGCUUAGAAGCAGCCACCCAUUCAAAGAGUGCGUAACAGCUCACUGGUCGAGUGGACAUGCGCCGACAAUAUACGGGGCUAAGCACGGUACCGAAGCGGCGGACCCGCGCGCGAGCGCGGGUGGUAGGGGAGCUUUCCGUCCGGGGCGAAGCGAGGGGGCGACCCCCCGUGGACCGGCCGGAAGUGAGAAUGCUGGCAUGAGUAGCGAGAGGGGCGUGAGAAACGCCCCCGCCGUAAACCCAAGGUUUCCUGGGCGAGGCUAAUCCUCCCAGGGUCAGUCGGGUGCUAAGGCGAGGCCGGAAGGCGUAGCCGACGCGCAGCAGGCAGACAUUCCUGCACCCCCGACGCGGCGCCAUCACCGACGGGGUGACGGAGAAGGGUAGCUCAGCGGGGUUCUGGACGUCCCCGUGAGGCCACGUAGGCCGGGCGGCUGUGAAACGCGCCGCCCGCGAGGGCUGAGGUGGCUGACGAAGCGACUGGGUGAAGUGAGUGAGCCCAUGCUCCCGAGAAAAACCCCUAGGGAUGCCGCGCGGGGCCCGUACCGCAAACCGACACAGGUGGGUGGGUAGAACAUACCAAGGCGAUCGGGAGAACUAUGGUUAAGGAACUCGGCAAAACUGCCCCGCAACUUCGGGAGAAGGGGUGCCGCCGCCGGUGGAGGGGCUUGCCCCCCGAGCUGGUGGCGGCCACAGUGAAGAGGUCCAAGCGACUGUUUAUCAAAAACACAGGACUCUGCUGAAGUCGUAAGACGACGCAUAGGGUCUGACGCCUGCCCGGUGCCGGAAGGUCACGAGGAGCCGUCAGCGAGAGCGAAGCGGCGAAUCCAAGCCCCGGUAAACGGCGGCCGUAACUAUAACGGUCCUAAGGUAGCGAAAUUCCUUGUCGGGUAAGUUCCGACCUGCACGAAAGGCGUAACGAUUUGGACGCUGUCUCAACCAUAGACCCGGUGAAAUUGCACUAGUCGUGAAGAUGCGACUUACCCGCGGAAGGACGGGAAGACCCCGUGAACCUUUACUGCAGCUUGACAUUGGCUGCCGGUUCGUCGUGUAGAGGAUAGGUGGGAGACGCCGAACCAGGGACGCCAGUCCCUGGGGAGUCACCCUUGGAAUACCACCCUCGACGUUCUGGCAUCCUAACCCCGCGCCGUGAUCCGGGCGGGGGACCGUGUCAGGUGGGUAGUUUGACUGGGGCGGUCGCCUCCUAAAGAGUAACGGAGGCGCACAAAGGUCUGCUCAGCCUGGUCGGCAACCAGGCCGCUGAGUGCAAGAGCGCAAGCAGGCUCGACUGCGAGGCCCACGAGCCGAGCAGGGACGAAAGUCGGUUCUAGUGAUCCGGCGGCCCAGAGUGGAAUGGCCGUCGCUCAACGGAUAAAAGGUACUCCGGGGAUAACAGGCUGAUCUUCCCCAAGAGUCCACAUCGACGGGAAGGUUUGGCACCUCGAUGUCGGCUCAUCGCAUCCUGGGGCUGGAGCAGGUCCCAAGG